UCCAGACUCCUACGGGAGGCAGCAGUGGGGGAUAUUGCACAAUGGGGGGAACCCUGAUGCAGCGACGCCGCGUGGGUGAAGAAGCGCCUCGGCGCGUAAAGCCCUGUCAGCAGGGAAGAAAAUGACGGUACCUGACCAAGAAGCUCCGGCUAAAUACGUGCCAGCAGCCGCGGUAAUACGUAUGGAGCAAGCGUUAUCCGGAUUUAUUGGGUUUAAAGGGUGCGCAGGCGGCACGGCAAGCCGGCGGUCAAAUCGCGGGGCUCAACCCCGCCCAGCCGUCGGAACUGCCGGGCUAGAGUGGGCGAGAAGUGCGCGGAAUGCGUGGUGUAGCGGUGAAAUGCAUAGAUAUCACGCAGAACUCCGAUUGCGAAGGCAGCGCACCGGCGCCCUACUGACGCUCAGGCACGAAAGCGUGGGUAUCGAACAGGAUUAGAUACCCGGGUAUG
rnacentral:rRNA from 1 species